GGCCUCGUUGCUCAGUUGGCUAGAGCGUUGGCUGUACUAUAACCUUCCAAUUGCUGGCAUGGGUUCGAAUCACUCCGAGGCCG
rnacentral:tRNA from 1 species